AGGCUGGAGAGAAAAAUUGUUUAAAAACUUUUGAGUUAUCAUUGAAAUACAUAGGCUUUUUGAGGCGAAAAUAGAUCAAAAGGUCCACAAAACAUUACGGAGUGUUUAGGUUCUAUUUUUCUUUUCCAAAACGAGUUCAUCAGAACCCUCGGAGUCGGGUCUUGGUAGUGAAAGCUCGUUCUCGCUCAGUUCGUUUCCCAGUUCCUGCUCAAAAAGA
rnacentral:lncRNA from 1 species